CAACAAAGUCAAACGCCGUAACUUUAACCUUUUUUUAUGUUAUUGAAUGAGUGCAAAAAAUGUCGGAGAUGACUUCAAAAUUUAGAAUAAAAUUAGAUUUGUUCGAAUUGGUCACCUUUGGCGCAAAUUAUGGCCUUCAAACGGCCAAUGAAACCGUCACAAUCUGCCCGAGUGUUGGUCUGUGGUAUUUUGGCCCAUUCCUGGAGAGCUUACUUGAGUUGAUCAAUACUUUGGUGUUUUUAGUGCCAACCUUGCUUUCCAAAAUACUCCAGACACAAUAGUCCAACGGAUUGGUAUCAUCCGUGCGGUGGUCCUGAGUCCUGGUGGAAUGUCCAAAGUCUGCGGCCAAAAUGUUUGGGUGCCCAAGGCUUUAAUACAUCCUCCAAAAUAUUUUCGCAAUACUAUUCGGCAUUUAUUCUGAUGCCAUGGUCGAUUAAUACAAUCGGUUAGCGACCAUUGGCUGUUAUGGCGGCCCACACCAUCACCAUGGCCGGCGCUUGAAUUCUGAUGGCAAACCGAAGCUGCAUAUUUUCAGCUGACCCCUUUGGCAAGUAAACACGAUAAUUUUGUUUGUUUACAAACUACUGGACAACGAAUGUUUUUUGUCAUCGGAGAAAACCAAAUUCGAAUGUCCACCACUUUCGGCCAAGCGAAGCAACUCUUUAGCUCUUUUGAGUCUAUUUUCUUUCUGCUGCACUCUUUUUCUUGCACUUUUUGGAAUUUCAAUGGCUUUGCCACGAGAUCAUUUUUCAAUAUUUGCCGAAGGGAAUUUUGCGAUAUGGUUCAGCUUACGAGCUAUUUUUCGGCCACUGAGACGCUUCUUUACUUUUCGAACCAUUUCUGCUGAUGUUGCUGUUUUCUUCCGUCCACUUCCUUGUGGUCGGGCUACGCGCUACCAGUAUCACGGCAACGAGCGAUGGUACGAGACACAAACGAUUUAUUCACAUUUAAAUGCUGGAGUGCUCUAACGAUAGCCUCUUGAGGUUUUCCAACCAAAUAGAAAGAAAUUACACUAUCACGCUUGAAUGCCAUAACGAAUAACUUUUUUCUGGAAAGCUCUCACGAAAAUGCUUUUGUAUGU